GACGUAGGGCGCGAGCGUUGUCCGGAUUUAUUGGGCGUAAAGAGCUCGUAGGCGGUUUGUCGCGUCUGCCGUGAAAGUCCGGGGCUCAACUCCGGAUCUGCGGUGGGUACGGGCAGACUAGAGUGAUGUAGGGGAGACUGGAAUUCCUGGUGUAGCGGUGAAAUGCGCAGAUAUCAGGAGGAACACCGAUGCCGAAGGCAGGUCUCUGGGCAUUAACUGACGCUGAGGAGCGAAAGCAUGGGGAGCGAACAGG
rnacentral:rRNA from 1 species